GACACCUUGCUGUAGAAAUGGAAGAGGCAUAAAGGCUUACAGAGAACAAUUAUAUAACAAGAUCAAAUUAUUGAAAGGGGUCAUCGGGAAGAGCGGGCGGUAGUAGGAGGGCUGUGCGUCCUGUCUCGGGAAGAGUCUCCAAGCCGGCUGGGACAGCUCUUCCUCUUUGAAAUGUUUUUGUUUAGGAUUUGCCGACCCACGUGAGAACCUUAGCUUGACGAGGGCAAGGACCAUGCCUUGCUCACUCCUGGAUCCCUGGUUCCUGCAGCAGUGCCUGACACAUGGCGGAAGGCCCAUGGGUACAAGAACUGACGAAUGAAUGAGCACAUGACCCUGGGGUGUGCGAGGAACUGUGGGAAGAUCGCCCUGUCUGGGAAGAAGUGUGUGUCCUUGAGGAGUGGGGGACUCUCCAACAGACCAGCAGAUGGGGCACCUAAGUAGGCCUGCAUGGGAUUCAAACCACGGGGCAGGUGAACCUAGCUGAACAGGGUAUAGGCACCACUGACAACUGCCAAGGACGACUCUGUAUAGAGUGCAACAUGGGACUUGAAUCUGAAAUUAAACUAAAGCACAAACUAAACAAAAUUGUUCUGCACUGUGCUUGGUCAGCCAACAGCUAUGCUUAAAAAAGAAAAAAAGAUCUGUUCAGUUCUUGUUAAGAACACAGUAAAAUGUUAAUGGGAUCACAAGACUUUUAUGACUACCUUCAACGAUCACCUUCACCUUUAAGCAGAUAGGUUCAUCGCCUCAUAUUGAACCAGUUAUCUACUAAAAAGUAUCUUGCUAUUGUCGUUCACCCAUAGCUGUUGUUCUAUAGAUCUUUUCUGUCUCAUACUCGCACCAUUGAUUAUUGGACCUAAAUGCAGUGCCUCACAUUCGUGGUACAUCCUAUCUUAUUGAUUUUAGACUAUCUUUCACCUUAUGGAAUUCAUUUUAAACCUUGAUCCUAUCAUCAAUCAGUAUUCCUCUUAGCUGGGUGUAAUUCAUAUGUGUGAUCUGCAAUCCCCCAAGGUCUGGGAUGCCUGGAGGUAAUUUCAAGAGCUCUAAGGGGCGGGGGGUGUCUACCAGAGGACACACCACCAGCC